rnacentral:rRNA from 1 species
CCUACGGGGGGCUGCAGUGAGGAAUAUUGGUCAAUGGGCGCAAGCCUGAACCAGCCAUGCCGCGUGCAGGAUGACUGCCCUCUGGGUUGUAAACUGCUUUUCUGUGGGGCGAAACCAUCGGUCGUGUAUCGGUGCUGACAGUACUACAGGAAUAAGGAUCGGCUAACUCCGUGCCAGCAGCCGCGGUAAUACGGAGGAUUCGAACGUUAUCCGGAUUUAUUGGGUUUAAAGGGUGCGUAGGCGGACUUGUAAGUCAGUGGUGAAAUUCUAUAGCU